UAAUACGAAGGGGGCGAGCGUUGUUCAGAAUCACUGGGCGUAAAACGUACGUAGGCGGCUAUGAAAGUCAGGAGUGAAAUCCCGGGGCUCAACCCUGGAACUGCUCUUGAAACUCCAUAGCUAGAGUCCCGGAGAGGUUGGCGGAAUUCCGAGUGUAGAGGUGAAAUUCGCAGAUAUUCGGAGGAAUACCAGUGGCGUAGGCGGCCAACUGGACGGGAACUGACGCUGAGGUACGAAAGCGUGGGGAGCAAACAGGAUUAGAUACCCUGGUAGUCCACGCCUUAAACGAUGUGUGCUAGCUGUUGGGUCCUUAAGGUCUCAGUGGCGCAGCUAACGCAUUAAGCACACCGCCUGGGGAGUACGGUCGCAAGAUUA
rnacentral:rRNA from 1 species